GAUGAACGCUGGCGGCGUGCCUAAUACAUGCAAGUCGAGCGAACGGACGAGAAGCUUGCUUCUCUGAUGUUAGCGGCGGACGGGUGAGUAACACGUGGAUAACCUACCUAUAAGACUGGGAUAACUUCGGGAAACCGGAGCUAAUACCGGAUAAUAUUUUGAACCGCAUGGUUCAGAAAUGAAAGACGGUCUUGCUGUCACUUAUAGAUGGAUCCGCGCUGCAUUAGCUAGUUGGUAAGGUAACGGCUUACCAAGGCAACGAUGCAUAGCCGACCUGAGAGGGUGAUCGGCCACACUGGAACUGAGACACGGUCCAGACUCCUGCGGGAGGCAGCAGUAGGGAAUCUUCCGCAAAGGGCGAAAGCCUGACGGAGCAACGCCGCGUGAGUGAUGAAGGUCUUCGGAUCGUAAAACUCUGUUAUUAGGGAAGAACAUAUGUGUAAGUAACUGUGCACAUCUUGACGGUACCUAAUCAGAAAGCCACGGCUAACUACGUG
rnacentral:rRNA from 1 species